GGGCUUGUGGUUUAGUGGUAUAAUACUCCCUUAGCAGCUACGACCCACCGAGCGGCGAUCUAUCUCGCGAUGGCUUCGUUUCUAGGCGCUUCGUUCUACUAAGUCUGGGAGUGGUCCGGGGUUCGAUUCCCCGCGAGUCCA